rnacentral:rRNA from 1 species
UACGUAGGGUGCGAGCGUUGUCCGGAUUUAUUGGGCGUAAAGAGCUCGUAGGCGGCUUGUUGCGUCGACCGUGAAAACCCGGGGCUCAACUUCGGGCUUGCGGUCGAUACGGGCGGGCUAGAGUUCGGUAGGGGAGACUGGAAUUCCUGGUGUAGCGGUGAAAUGCGCAGAUAUCAGGAGGAACACCGGUGGCGAAGGCGGGUCUCUGGGCCGAUACUGACGCUGAGGAGCGAAAGCGUGGGGAGCGAACAGG